UACGGAGGGAGCUAGCGUUGUUCGGAAUUACUGGGCGUAAAGCGCACGUAGGCGGCUUUGUAAGUUAGGGGUGAAAGCCCGGAGCUCAACUCCGGAAUUGCCUUUAAGACUGCAUCGCUUGAAUCCGGGAGAGGUGAGUGGAAUUCCGAGUGUAGAGGUGAAAUUCGUAGAUAUUCGCAAGAACACCAGUGGCGAAGGCGGCUCACUGGCCCGAUACUGACGCUGAGGCACGAAAGCGUGGGGAGCAAACAGG
rnacentral:rRNA from 1 species